rnacentral:rRNA from 1 species
CUACGGGGCGCUCCAGUGGGGAAUCUUAGACAAUGGGCGCAAGCCUGAUCUAGCCAUGCCGCGUGAGUGACGAAGGCCUUAGGGUCGUAAAGCUCUUUCGCUGGGGAAGAUAAUGACGGUACCCAGUAAAGAAACCCCGGCUAACUCCGUGCCAGCAGCCGCGGUAAUACGGAGGGGGUUAGCGUUGUUCGGAAUUACUGGGCGUAAAGCGCGCGUAGGCGGAUCAGAAAGUUGGGGGUGAAAUCCCGGGGCUCAACCCCGGAACUGCCUUCAAAACUCCUGGUCUUGAGUUCGAGAGAGGUGAGUGGAAUUCCGAGUGUAGAGGUGAAAUUCGUAGAUAUUCGGAGGAACACCAGUGGCGAAGGCGGCUCACUGGCUCGAUACUGACGCUGAGGUGCGAAAGCGUGGGGAGCAAACAGGAUUAGAUACCCCGGUAGUC